rnacentral:misc_RNA from 1 species
CAAAGUGAAGAAAUUUGCUUAAGAUUGAGAGAAAACUUCAUUAUCAUCAUGGUAGUUUAUACUAGAGAGGAAGAUAAGCUGUUAAAAAUCUCUGAGACUCGCAGAUUCGCAAAUCUGUAUGCAAAAGAGGAGUGCACAUCCUUUUUCAAUAACAUGGGGCUUGUGAACCAGCACCUUCUUGGAUAAUAUCUCAACAAUAUCAAAUACAUCUCCAAUGUAAGAUCACCCAUUAUUGCAACUUGGCUUGUUUUUUAAAUUUCCUCAUAUUCUAAAUCAAAU